rnacentral:rRNA from 1 species
CAGUAGCCGCGGGAAUACGUAGGUGGCAAGCGUUGUCCGGAAUUAUUGGGCGUAAAGGGCUCGCAGGCGGUUUCUUAAGUCUGAUGUGAAAGCCCCCGGCUCAACCGGGGAGGGUCAUUGGAAACUGGGAAACUUGAGUGCAGAAGAGGAGAGCGGAAUUCCACGUGUAGCGGUGAAAUGCGUAGAGAUGUGGAGGAACACCAGUGGCGAAGGCGACUCUCUGGUCUGUAACUGACGCUGAGGAGCGAAAGCGUGGGGAGCGAACAGGAUUAGAUACCCGAGUAGUCCCUGUCUCUUAUAA